GGGUUGUGAGGUUAAGCGACUAAGCGUACACGGUGGAUGCCCUGGCAGUCAGAGGCGAUGAAGGACGUGCUAAUCUGCGAUAAGCGUCGGUAAGGUGAUAUGAACCGUUAUAACCGGCGAUUUCCGAAUGGGGAAACCCAGUGUGUUUCGACACACUAUCAUUAACUGAAUCCAUAGGUUAAUGAGGCGAACCGGGGGAACUGAAACAUCUAAGUACCCCGAGGAAAAGAAAUCAACCGAGAUUCCCCCAGUAGCGGCGAGCGAACGGGGAGCAGCCCAGAGCCUGAAUCAGUGUGUGUGUUAGUGGAAGCGUCUGGAAAGGCGCGCGAUACAGGGUGACAGCCCCGUACACAAAAAUGCACAUGCUGUGAGCUCGAUGAGUAGGGCGGGACACGUGGUAUCCUGUCUGAAUAUGGGGGGACCAUCCUCCAAGGCUAAAUACUCCUGACUGACCGAUAGUGAACCAGUACCGUGAGGGAAAGGCGAAAAGAACCCCGGCGAGGGGAGUGAAAAAGAACCUGAAACCGUGUACGUACAAGCAGUGGGAGCACGCUUAGGCGUGUGACUGCGUACCUUUUGUAUAAUGGGUCAGCGACUUAUAUUCUGUAGCAAGGUUAACCGAAUAGGGGAGCCGAAGGGAAACCGAGUCUUAACUGGGCGUUAAGUUGCAGGGUAUAGACCCGAAACCCGGUGAUCUAGCCAUGGGCAGGUUGAAGGUUGGGUAACACUAACUGGAGGACCGAACCGACUAAUGUUGAAAAAUUAGCGGAUGACUUGUGGCUGGGGGUGAAAGGCCAAUCAAACCGGGAGAUAGCUGGUUCUCCCCGAAAGCUAUUUAGGUAGCGCCUCGUGAAUUCAUCUCCGGGGGUAGAGCACUGUUUCGGCAAGGGGGUCAUCCCGACUUACCAACCCGAUGCAAACUGCGAAUACCGGAGAAUGUUAUCACGGGAGACACACGGCGGGUGCUAACGUCCGUCGUGAAGAGGGAAACAACCCAGACCGCCAGCUAAGGUCCCAAAGUCAUGGUUAAGUGGGAAACGAUGUGGGAAGGCCCAGACAGCCAGGAUGUUGGCUUAGAAGCAGCCAUCAUUUAAAGAAAGCGUAAUAGCUCACUGGUCGAGUCGGCCUGCGCGGAAGAUGUAACGGGGCUAAACCAUGCACCGAAGCUGCGGCAGCGACGCUUAUGCGUUGUUGGGUAGGGGAGCGUUCUGUAAGCCUGUGAAGGUGUGCUGUGAGGCAUGCUGGAGGUAUCAGAAGUGCGAAUGCUGACAUAAGUAACGAUAAAGCGGGUGAAAAGCCCGCUCGCCGGAAGACCAAGGGUUCCUGUCCAACGUUAAUCGGGGCAGGGUGAGUCGACCCCUAAGGCGAGGCCGAAAGGCGUAGUCGAUGGGAAACAGGUUAAUAUUCCUGUACUUGGUGUUACUGCGAAGGGGGGACGGAGAAGGCUAUGUUGGCCGGGCGACGGUUGUCCCGGUUUAAGCGUGUAGGCUGGUUUUCCAGGCAAAUCCGGAAAAUCAAGGCUGAGGCGUGAUGACGAGGCACUACGGUGCUGAAGCAACAAAUGCCCUGCUUCCAGGAAAAGCCUCUAAGCAUCAGGUAACAUCAAAUCGUACCCCAAACCGACACAGGUGGUCAGGUAGAGAAUACCAAGGCGCUUGAGAGAACUCGGGUGAAGGAACUAGGCAAAAUGGUGCCGUAACUUCGGGAGAAGGCACGCUGAUAUGUAGGUGAGGUCCCUCGCGGAUGGAGCUGAAAUCAGUCGAAGAUACCAGCUGGCUGCAACUGUUUAUUAAAAACACAGCACUGUGCAAACACGAAAGUGGACGUAUACGGUGUGACGCCUGCCCGGUGCCGGAAGGUUAAUUGAUGGGGUUAGCGCAAGCGAAGCUCUUGAUCGAAGCCCCGGUAAACGGCGGCCGUAACUAUAACGGUCCUAAGGUAGCGAAAUUCCUUGUCGGGUAAGUUCCGACCUGCACGAAUGGCGUAAUGAUGGCCAGGCUGUCUCCACCCGAGACUCAGUGAAAUUGAACUCGCUGUGAAGAUGCAGUGUACCCGCGGCAAGACGGAAAGACCCCGUGAACCUUUACUAUAGCUUGACACUGAACAUUGAGCCUUGAUGUGUAGGAUAGGUGGGAGGCUUUGAAGUGUGGACGCCAGUCUGCAUGGAGCCGACCUUGAAAUACCACCCUUUAAUGUUUGAUGUUCUAACGUUGACCCGUAAUCCGGGUUGCGGACAGUGUCUGGUGGGUAGUUUGACUGGGGCGGUCUCCUCCUAAAGAGUAACGGAGGAGCACGAAGGUUGGCUAAUCCUGGUCGGACAUCAGGAGGUUAGUGCAAUGGCAUAAGCCAGCUUGACUGCGAGCGUGACGGCGCGAGCAGGUGCGAAAGCAGGUCAUAGUGAUCCGGUGGUUCUGAAUGGAAGGGCCAUCGCUCAACGGAUAAAAGGUACUCCGGGGAUAACAGGCUGAUACCGCCCAAGAGUUCAUAUCGACGGCGGUGUUUGGCACCUCGAUGUCGGCUCAUCACAUCCUGGGGCUGAAGUAGGUCCCAAGGGUAUGGCUGUUCGCCAUUUAAAGUGGUACGCGAGCUGGGUUUAGAACGUCGUGAGACAGUUCGGUCCCUAUCUGCCGUGGGCGCUGGAGAACUGAGGGGGGCUGCUCCUAGUACGAGAGGACCGGAGUGGACGCAUCACUGGUGUUCGGGUUGUCAUGCCAAUGGCACUGCCCGGUAGCUAAAUGCGGAAGAGAUAAGUGCUGAAAGCAUCUAAGCACGAAACUUGCCCCGAGAUGAGUUCUCCCUGACCCUUUAAGGGUCCUGA
rnacentral:rRNA from 1 species